CCUACGGGAGGCAGCAGUGGGGAAUUUUGGACAAUGGGCGCAAGCCUGAUCCAGCAAUGCCGCGUGCAGGAAGAAGGCCUUCGGGUUGUAAACUGCUUUUGUACGGAACGAGACGGUCUGGGUUAAUACCUCGGGCUAAUGACGGUACCGUAAGAAUAAGGAUCGGCUAACUCCGUGCCAGCAGCCGCGGUAAU
rnacentral:rRNA from 1 species